CCCUUAGAUGUUCUGGGCUGCACGCGCGCUACACUGACGCACGCAACAGGUGCCUGCUCCGAGAGGACUGGGUAAUCAUUUGAGUGUGCGUCGUGAUGGGGAUAGAAUAUUGUAAUUAUUACUCUUCAACGAGGAAUUCCUAGUAAGCGCCAGUCAGCAGCUUGCGCUGAUUACGUCCCUGCCCUUUGUACACACCGCCCGUCGCUCCUACCGAUGGGUGAUCCGGUGAAUGAUUCGGACUUCAGCGGCUCCCCUGGGUUGCGCCGGAGAAAGUUUUGUGAACCUUAUCACUUGGAGGAAGGAGAAGUCGUAACA
rnacentral:rRNA from 1 species